rnacentral:tRNA from 1 species
GGCUGGGUAGCAAAAUGGUAAUGCCGUGGACUGCAAAUCCUCUAUCGCCGGUUCGAUUCCGGCCCUGGCCUCCA